UACGUAGGGGGCGAGCGUUACCCGGAUUUACUGGGCGUAAAGCGCGUGUAGGCGGCUGGUCAAGCGUGGUGUGAAAUCUCCGGGCUCAACCCGGAAACUGCAUUGCGAACUGACCUAGCUGGAGUGCAGGAGAGGGCAGCGGAAUUCCUAGUGUAGAGGUGAAAUUCGUAGAUAUUAGGAAGAACACCGGUGGCGAAGGCGGCCCACUGGCUCGAUACUGACGCUGAGGUGCGAAAGCGUGGGGAGCAAACAGG
rnacentral:rRNA from 1 species